rnacentral:pre_miRNA from 1 species
AGUGGAAUUGCUGGGUCAUAUGAUAAUUUUCUGUUUAGCUUUUGAAUAACUGCCAAAUUAUUUUCCACAGCAUCUGCACCAUUCACACUCCUACCAGCAAU